GAUGAACGCUGGCGGCGUGCCUAAUACAUGCAAGUCGAGCGAAUGGAUUAAGAGCUUGCUCUUAUGAAGUUAGCGGCGGACGGGUGAGUAACACGUGGGUAACCUGCCCAUAAGACUGGGAUAACUCCGGGAAACCGGGGCUAAUACCGGAUAACAUUUUGAACCGCAUGGUUCGAAAUUGAAAGGCGGCUUCGGCUGUCACUUAUGGAUGGACCCGCGUCGCAUUAGCUAGGUGGGGAGGUAACGGCUCACCAAGGCAACGAUGCGUAGCCGACCUGAGAGGGUGAUCGGCCACACUGGGACUGAGACACGGGCCAGGCUCCUACGGGAGGCAGCAGUAGGGAAUCUUCCGCAAUGGACGAAAGUCUGACGGAGCAACGCCGCGUGAGUGAUGAAGGCUUUCGAGUCGUAAAACUCUGUUGUUAGGGAAGAACAAGUGCUAGUUGAAUAAGCUGGCACCUUGACGGUACCUAACCAGAAAGCCACGGCUAACUACGUGCCAGCAGCCGCCGUAA
rnacentral:rRNA from 1 species